rnacentral:lncRNA from 1 species
GUUCACUCCCAGGUCGUUUUCCCUUUCAGCUGCAAUGCCGGGAUUUUAAAUAGCAGAGAUGAAAGGCCCCUGCCCCCGCCUCCCUCCUCCCCUGAGUUCAUGUAUUAUGAAUGAAACGGCAGCCUCGCUGCUUCCUGAGGUGCUCCACUUCAGGCUGGGGUGCAAUGGCUCGAUCUCGGCUCUCUGCAACCUCUGCUUCCCGGGUUCAAGUGAUUCUCCUGCAUCAGCCUCCCAAGCAGCUGUGAUUACAGGCUGGAGUGCAGUGGUGCUGUGUCUGGAGUUUGUUCCUGCCGGUGGGUUUGUGGUCUUGCUGACUUCAAGAAUGAAGCCACGGACCUUCACGUCCAUCGCCUUGGCUCAGUGCAUGUCACCAAAAAUUCUCCAGGAAUUUCAUAGUUUGGACCUCAGUGGCAUGGCUGGCCCUGGAUUAUCCAUGCAGGGAGGCCUGCUCCUGUGACAGUCAGCUGCAGCAGGGGGCUCCCCAUCUUCUGUGCUUUGUGGUACAUAUCUGUGUGACCAAAGUAGCGGCCCCGGUACAGCAAGCCUUUUGUCUGCUGCUUCUCCUUCUAGCAGUUGUUCCAGAGGUUGGCGAUAUAAUCAUCUUCCACAUUUGGUUUGACUGUUUGGAGGCUGGAGCCUGUGUACUCCUCGGAGAAAGUGCCUGCCACAUAGUAGAUGACACUCAGGUGGUCAGUGACUCACCUGUGAUGUGGCCCACAAACAGUCUUGGGCUCAGACUGUAGGGUGGACUGGAGACCAUGAGCUGGCUGAGAGCUGACAUGAGGAUGAGGAUGGGCAUCAGCUGCACAAACACCCCUAACCUGCUGUCACUCUGCUUCUCCCUGCAGCCCUGCCUUUGCUGAUACACACAGAGGCACAUUGGAAAUACAGUAGAAAACGGCUGCCAAUUUAAAACCAGAAGUUAAGAAGAGCAAACUCGAAUGUACAGCAAGAGAGCUUCAGGCUGGACUGGCUUCCAGCAGAAGUGGGACUGGAAACCUUGGAUUCUAUUGUCUCUUCUCUGUGAAGUGGGAAAACAUGUCAGUAUCUGAACUUGAGCUUGGUAAUUACUGCUCAUUUCUCAACCUUUUCCAAGCCACAUAACUCCCCUGAGGCUUAGUUUUCUUAUCUGUGAAUUGAGAGAUGGUAUGUUCUUCAUCACGAAGUUGCUAUAAAGACUGAAUGAGAUAAUGUGUGUGGAAGCACCAAGCAUGGUCCUUGGCAUACAGUAGGUGCUCAAUAAAUAUGAACUGGAGUACACAUGCA